AUUGAACGCUGGCGGCAGGCCUAACACAUGCAAGUCGAGCGGAUGAAGGUAGCUUGCUCCUGGAUUCAGCGGCGGACGGGUGAGUAAUGCCUAGGAAUCUGCCUGGUAGUGGGGGAUAACGUCCGGAAACGGGCGCUAAUACCGCAUCAGUCCUGAGGGAGAAAGUGGGGGAGCUUCGGACCUCACGCUAUCAGAUGAUCCUAGGUCGGAUUAGCUAGUUGGUGGGGGAAAGGCCUACCAAGGCGACGAUCCGUAACUGGUCUGAGAGGAUGAUCAGUCACACUGGAACUGGAAGACGGUCCAGACUCCUACGGGAGGCCGCAGUGGGGAACAUUGGAAGAUGGGAGAAAGCCUGAUCCAGCCAUGCCGCGUGUGUGAAGAAGGUCUUGCGAUGGUAAAGUACUUUACGUUGGGAGGAAGGGCAGUAAGUUAAUACCUUGCUGUUUUGACGUUACCAACAGAAUAAGCACCGGCUAACUUCGUG
rnacentral:rRNA from 1 species